UUCAGAGCUUGCUCUCAAUGAAGUUAGCGGCGGACGGGUGAGUAACACGUGGGUAACCUGCCCAUAAGACUGGGAUAACUCCGGGAAACCGGGGCUAAUACCGGAUAACAUUUUGAACUGCAUGGUUCGAAAUUGAAAGGCGGCUUCGGCUGUCACUUAUGGAUGGACCCGCGUCGCAUUAGCUAGUUGGUGAGGUAACGGCUCACCAAGGCAACGAUGCGUAGCCGACCUGAGAGGGUGAUCGGCCACACUGGGACUGAGACACGGCCCAGACUCCUACGGGAGGCAGCAGUAGGGAAUCUUCCGCAAUGGACGAAAGUCUGACGGAGCAACGCCGCGUGAGUGAUGAAGGCUUUCGGGUCGUAAAACUCUGUUGUUAGGGAAGAACAAGUGCUAGUUGAAUAAGCUGGCACCUUGACGGUACCUAACCAGAAAGCCACGGCUAACUACGUGCCAGCGGCCGCGGUAAUACGUAGGUGGCACGCGUUAUCCGGAAUUAUUGGGCGUAAAGCGCGCGCAUGUGGU
rnacentral:rRNA from 1 species